CCUACGGGAGGCAGCAGUGAGGAAUAUUGGUCAAUGGACGAGAGUCUGAACCAGCCAAGUAGCGUGAAGGAUGACUGCCCUAUGGGUUGUAAACUUCUUUUAUAUGGGAAUAAAAUGUUCCACGUGUGGGUUUUUGUAUGUACCAUAUGAAUAAGGAUCGGCUAACUCCGUGCCAGCAGCCGCGGUAAUACGGAGGAUCCGAGCGUUAUCCGGAUUUAUUGGGUUUAAAGGGAGCGUAGGUGGAUUGUUAAGUCAGUUGUGAAAGUUUGCGGCGCAACCGUAAAAGUGCAUUUGAAACGGGCAGUCUUGAGUACAGUAGAGGUGGGCGGAAUUCGUGGUGUAGCGGUGAAAUGCUUAGAUAUCACGAAGAACUCCGAUUGCGAAGGCAGCUCACUGGACUGCAACUGACACUGAGGCUCGAAAGUGUGGGUAUCAAACAGGAUUAGAUACCCUAGUAGUC
rnacentral:rRNA from 1 species